UGGGGAAUUUUGGACAAUGGGCGAAAGCCUGAUCCAGCAAUGCCGCGUGUGUGAAGAAGGCCUUCGGGUUGUAAAGCACUUUUGUCCGGAAAGAAAUCCUCUGGGUUAAUACCUCGGGGGGAUGACGGUACCGGAAGAAUAAGCACCGGCUAACUACGUGCCAGCAGCCGCGGUAAUACGUAGGGUGCAAGCGUUAAUCGGAAUUACUGGGCGUAAAGCGUGCNCAGGCGGUUUUGUAAGACGGAUGUGAAAUCCCCGGGCUUAACCUGGGAACUGCAUUCGUGACUGCAAGGCUAGAGUAUGGCAGAGGGGGGUUAGAAUUCCACGUGUAGCAGUGAAAUGCGUAGAGAUGUGGAGGAAUACCGAUGGCGAAGGCAGCCCCCUGGGCCAAUACUGACGCUCAUGCACGAAAGCGUGGGGAGCAAACAGGAUUAGAUACCCUGGUAGUCCACGCCCUAAAACGAUGUCAACUAGUUGUUGGGGAUUCAUUUCCUUAGUAACGUAGCUAACGCGUGAAGUUGACCGCCUGGGGAGUACGGUCGCAAGAUUAAAACUCAAAUGAAUUGACGGGGUCAUAGCUGUUUCCU
rnacentral:rRNA from 1 species